GAUGAACGCUGGCGGCGUGCCUAAUACAUGCAAGUCGAGCGAACAGACGAGGAGCUUGCUCCUCUGACGUUAGCGGCGGACGGGUGAGUAACACGUGGAUAACCUACCUAUAAGACUGGGAUAACUUCGGGAAACCGGAGCUAAUACCGGAUAAUAUAUUGAACCGCAUGGUUCGAUAGUGAAAGACGGUUUUGCUGUCACUUAUAGAUGGAUCCGCGCCGCAUUAGCUAGUUGGUAAGGUAACGGCUUACCAAGGCAACGAUGCGUAGCCGACCUGAGAGGGUGAUCGCCCACACUGGAACUGAGACACGGUCCAGACUCCUACGGGAGGCAGCAGUAGGGAAUCUUCCGCAAUGGGCGAAAGCCUGACGGAGCAACGCCGCGUGAGUGAUGAAGGUCUUCGGAUCGUAAAACUCUGUUAUUAGGGAAGAACAAAUGUGUAAGUAACUAUGCACGUCUUGACGGUACCUAAUCAGAAAGCCACGGCUAACUACGUG
rnacentral:rRNA from 1 species